UGGUCAUAUACCAAGGCUGUCAGGAGUCUGUGUUCCUGUUUGGCUGUGGACAUGACCAAAAAACAAACCAUCCCAGUGGGCUUCUGCAGCAGCCUGCUUAGAAGACUUGUUGGGAACAUUG
rnacentral:snoRNA from 1 species